UACGUAGGGGGCGAGCGUUGUCCGGAUUUAUUGGGCGUAAAGGGUGUGUAGGUGGCGCCGUAAGUCGGGUGUGAAAUUUCGGAGCUUAACUCCGAAACUGCAUUCGAUACUGCGGUGCUUGAGGACUGGAGAGGAGACUGGAAUUCAUGGUGUAGCAGUGAAAUGCGUAGAGAUCAUGAGGAAGACCAGUGGCGAAGGCGGGUCUCUGGACAGUUCCUGACACUGAGACACGAAGGCCAGGGGAGCAAACGGG
rnacentral:rRNA from 1 species